rnacentral:rRNA from 1 species
AUUGAACGCUGGCGGCAGGCCUAACACAUGCAAGUCGAGCGGCAGCGACAACAUUGAUUCUUCGGAGGAUUUGUUGGGCGGCGAGCGGCGGACGGGUGAGUAAUGGCUGGGAACCUGCCCUGACGUGGGGGAUAACAGUUGGAAACGACUGCUAAUACCGCAUGAUGUCUUCGGACCAAAGAGGAGGACCGUUCGGGUCGUUCUCGCGUCGGGAGUGGGCCCGACGUUGGGUAGUUAGUCGUAGUUGGUUGAGGUAAGUGGCUCACCAAGGCGACGAUCCCUAGCUGGUUUGAGAGGAUGAUCAGCCACACUGGAACUGAGACACGGUCCAGACUCCUACGGGAGGCAGCAGUGGGGAAUAUUGCACAAUGGGCGCAAGCCUGAUGCAGCCAUGCCGCGUGUGUGAAGAAGGCCUUCGGGUUGUAAAG